UGUCUAUCCAGCAGCCAAAUAGCACCAGCUAGCUAUCCAUAUCUUAAAAUCAGCUGGGGAACUGACCUGGGCCCAGGCAGAAUCCAGAACUAAAGCUGAGAUAAGAAACAGCUGAAAAAGCCUUUCAUUGUGGAUGUUAACACACAUCAUUGAGGCAAACGUUAAUGCUCUGUGUCCCAGCAGAGUGACCAUCAGCUGCCUUGGCAGCAGAUGGGUUUGGGAUCUGUGGUCCCUUUUGUCUUAUUUCUGUGGGAUGGUGCAGUGCUGACAAAAGGGACUGGGACGUGGAUCCCUCCCUGCAGGGCUUGUACAGGCAUCAGCCCUCCCCACUCUGCCAAAGCCACCCACCAAAACUGCAGCACCUCACUGGGGACUGCAGGGAAGUGUGUGCUGUAAUUGGAUCGUGGAUUCCAGUCCAGGAGCUCUCUGUGUCUCAGGAUUCAGCUGUGGCACAGGCCUGCAGGGGACACUUGUCAGUGAUUGUUUCUGUGCAGAUGUGCAGAGCAGGACAUGCAGAGCAGAACAAGGAAAAGGAACAUCACAAAGGCAGCGAGGCCGACCCAGAAGGCGAUGACGAUGGAGUCUGUGGGCACAGCAGAGGGUUCUGUCAUUUGGCACGGCAGAAAUUAAACACAGCAAGGUGAUUUGCCCUCCCUGCUGCAGCACCUUUGGCCACUGUCCCACAGACGCUCCCUCCUGGGGCCACUGUGCUGAUGGCCUUGGGAAGUCUGGGUGCCCUGCCCUGGAUUCACAGCAGACGAGGUGGAAAAAGAAGGGUCACUGGCUCCAGGGACAAAUAUUGACUGAGAUAAA